rnacentral:lncRNA from 1 species
UUGUUGUUCAUCUUCACCGCCUCUCCGCCUUCUCCACCUCUGAAAAUACCCUUAUCAUUUCCAAAUGCUUAGCUCCAUCUCCUUCUACUGUGGGUGAUGAAUUAUCGUCAUCGUGGUAAUGGCGUGGCUUUCCUUCUCAGCUUGCAGAAGUAAGUGUUUUCCUAUCCCCUUUUUCUUUUUCUUCAUCUCAGCUGGUUUUGAAAUCUACUCAUGUCAUUUUACAGAAGUGUGUUCCGGUGGAAGUGUAAGAGCUUGAAAAAUCUCCAAAUCGAGUUUGAACCCUGCAUCCUAACUUUGUAGUUCACAGUAAACCUCUCAUUCUUGUUCUAUCUACCUUAUUCUCCUCUACUGAUUACUGAACUUUCAUUUUUAUAUAGAUGAAGUGGAAGUGGAGAAAACUUAGUUGCUCCCGACCUCCUUCUCUUGGAACUCUUAGUUAGGUGUAGUCACUUUAUGGAAGAUAUGAUUCCAUAGCCCUUCUUUUUUGCUAGUGUUGCUUUUUCUUUGCUAAUGUAGCUUCGGCUAAUUAGCUUUUUAGAUAGUCAUUAUUCCAUUGUGUAAGCCACAAACAUUAUUGUAAAUAUAAUGGUUGUGAGACACUGUGGUGUUUCCUUGUUUCAUCUGUUUAAAAUCUUAAUUGUUCUAACUUCGAUGUUCGGAAUGUUAAUUAAUCUUUUUUUUGUACUUGGUAAAUGAUUGUAAUUUCUUAAUUAAAGUACGCCUUAUUGUUCUAUUGUUGUAUUUGUGAGAUAAUUUGCUAACUUAUUGGCCUCCCUGAAUACAUGAAUUAUGUUAGUGUUAAUCCUUUGCAUCAGUUCUCUUAUUUCCUCCACUACAUUAAUCAACAUCCAAGGGACCUUUCAUUCCUUUCUAAUCAUUUUUGUAAGCCCGAGUGAGUCAAUUUGUAGUUGUACAUUAUCCAUCUCUUGAAUCAGAUAGUAUUUGAGUGCCUUUAGUAUAGCUAUUGACUCUGCUUCCAUAUUGGUAGAAAUUCCUAGGCUUUGUGCUUCUACAUAGAUUAAUUCUCCUUCACUGUUUCUAACACAAAAAUCAUAGGAGCUAAUGCUUGGAUUACCCUUGCUUGCACCAUCUGUGUUACAUGUCACCCAACCUAUUUUUGGCCUCCUUCAUUUCACUAUAAUGUAGUGAAGUAUAGGUGAAUAUAUUUGCAAUGUAUCCAUCAUAGCAGGCCAUCUCAAGGGACCAUUAUUUAUCUAUGAAAAAUGCACUUUAAAUAGAUGAAAUAUAUUCAUUGUGUAUUGUUGUUUCAUUUUAUUAAGUAUAAUAUCUUUCCCAUAUUUUCUAUAGUUUCUUCUUUUCUAUAGUUCCCACAUCAACAAUGCUAGAAUUGCCUUGGUAAUCAGCUUUAUUUUUGGAUUUUCUUGAUAAUUACACUACUUGAAAAUAAGCUGAUGUAAGUUGAGACCAUCCAUCUUAAUACCUGCAUAAGAAGCAAACUGCCUUCUUAACUUUUGAGCUAUGGGGGUUGUUAAUAAUAAAUAAUGCAUUGUUUUCAUUUCUCCUUCUUCACAGCAGUAACAUUUUGAGAUAAUCUGAAUUUUCAUCCUCUUCGAAUUGUCAUCAGAAUCUAUUCAUUUUCUCCUACCUCCAAAGGAAAAAAGCCAUCUUCAAAGGUAAAACUCUUAGCCAGAUAUUCUUUAUCUAUUCAAUCCUAUCUCUCAUGUGGCUCAUGAUCUAGUAAGUUAAUUUGAAUGCAAAAAUGCCUUUGCCUCCCCAUCCACUAAUGUCAUUUUUGCUAGAUCAAUUGUAGUCUUGAUGUUUUCCAAAAUGUUCAAAACUAUUUCUUCAGAUAAGUACUCUUUUAACUUAUCCACAUUCCACUCUACAUUAGUAAUUAACUCUUUUACCCCUAUUUCAUCUUCACUAAUAUUUUGGCCUUCAACAUGAUAUUGUGCCCCUUGUCUUAUCCAGUAAUCAAACCAAAAACUUGAAUUUCCAGCCUUAAUCUGCCACUAAAUCUCAUGCUCUAUCACCUCUCUUACCUCCAACAUCCUUUUACAUACAUGAGAUACACCAGUAUUUCUUGUAAUGGUUGGAUGAAGAUUUUUAUAGUAUUUAUUUCCUAUAUAAUUACUCCAUAAAGAUAAUGUUGAGAUCCUAAAACUCCACCACAGUUUGGCAAAUAAAGCCUUUGAUACUUCAUGUAAGGACCUGAAUCUUAUUCCUUUUUCUUCCUUAGAAUAACACAUAUCUUCCCAAGCUACUCAGUGCUUCCUCCUCAUAUGUCCCGUAUUACCUCAAAAGAAUUUGGUAAAAAUCUGAUGCAAAUACUUAAUGACAUUCUUUGGUGGAUUCAUAGAAGAAAGAAUAUAUAUAGGCAUCGACUGUAGAACAUGAUUAAUAAGAAUGUACUUUCCUCCAAAGUUCAAAAGCUUUUUUUUUUCAAGAUAAAAGCCUCUUAGUCAUCUUCCUUAACAAAUCUUCAUAAUAAGCUUUAUUCUUCCUGCCAUAAAAAAUUGGACAUCCCAUAUAAUGAAAGGACUUUUGAGCCUGAUUUUCACAAUCAAUGGAGUUUUAUCAUGCAGAUAGAAAAAACUGUUCCUUUUAUUAAUCAGUUGUACAAAGGUGUUUUCAUAAUCUCUCAAUACUCUUAUUAUUUUGGUGAUAGAAAUUCCAUCUCCUGACUAAAAUAGAAUAGUAUCAUCAACAUAUGAGAGAUGAUUUAUCUCUAGGUUCCACUUUAGUAAUCCAUAUUCCUUGAAUUCAUUAUCUCUAUGUAAUUCAGUUAGGCCUCUAGACAAUAUUUCUGCAGCAGUAAGGGAAAGUAUAGUAGAUAAAGAAUCUCCUUGUUUCACUUCUCUUGAGGAUUGAAAAAAAUCAUAUGAGUGUCCAUUAAUUAAUAUAGAGUACCAGUUAUUAGAUAUCAGCCUCUAGAGCAUGUCUAUAAUCAACUCUGAAAAAUCAAAUUUCCUUAGAACUUUUGUACGAAAAAUCCAUGAUACUCUGUCAUAUGAUUUUGCCAUAUUUAAUUUCACCACAAUAUUAGUAUUAUAUUUUCUCAAAUUGAUGUCUCUAAUGAUCUUUUGUGCUAAAAGCACAUUUUCUGUUAUGCUGCUUCUUUUUACGAAACCAGCCUAGAUUUUAGAAAUGAUAUAAGGGAGCAUCCUACCCAUUCUUUCAUGUAGCACUCUAAAGACAAUUUUGUUAGCAAAAGUACUUAGAUUUAUUGUAAUGCAACGAGUCUGUAACCCAGAUGCUACAUGGUGCUUAUGAUCCCCAGGGACCACAAGCUAACCUAUAACUGAUAUCUGUUGUAAGUACAGAAUAAUAAUAUUAUAAUAAUACAAAAAAUAGUCUGAAAUUCCAUAAGGUUCACAAUUUGAAUACUGAUAAAGAAUAACAACUGUAAUAACAUCUGGUAAAAUAUCUGAAAUGUGAAUACUGUCUGAACUAGUUUAGUUUGAAAAGCCUCUAGCUGAACUGUCUGAAAGUACAGUUGAUGGGACAAGCCCCCAACUAACUCCGACUACUGAAAUACUAAAAUAAAAAUAUAUCCUCGAUAGAUGAGGACUCACUAUUGAAUCUACUAAUGCUAUCUAAAUCUGUCUAUACGCGGUCAGGAACCCAAUCAUUCGAACCUAUGAUAUGAGACAUCAUAGCAUAAGAGAAAGCAUGCGUCAGUACUUGGAAUAUACUGGUAUGCUAGAUGAGGUAAAUCUGAAUGCAAGGAUUCAUAUGCAUGAACAAUAACUGACUGAAUGAUAUAUAGAAACUAAAUAAUAGGACAUGGAUAACUGAAACUGCUGUAAAUACUGAGUAUGCAGUACUGUGCAUAUACAUGUGUACUGUAUCUAAGCUUUAACUGAAGCCGAGUACUAAAUUCUUAUAACUAAGUAACUCAUAGCUGAGUGACUGUAUCUGACAGUCCUGAUUCUGUAGAACUGAAUUAAGUUCUAUACUAAGACUAAAACUGAAAAUGUGAGAGGUAAUCAUUUAACCAACAUGCCCCUUUCUGAAUAGAUUUGGGGUCAAACUUAUAACCCCAGCUGGAAGGGUGUCACUACUAUACCAUGGGUAAAUACAAGCUGAAGAGUCACCCUCGUCUAGAAGGUACCCUGAAUGAGAACAGUGGUACCCUCAACUGGCAAGUUAAAACGCCUCAUCAACCCUCAAUUGGUAGGUUGAUGUCUCAACCUACACUGGAUAUGUAGUUUAGGAAUGCAAAGACCAAUUCUAAGGAUCACACGCUCUACUGCCAUGAGAUCCCCGAUCCUCGGGUUUACUCGAUGCUGAAUCCUACUCUUAUAUGAAGGAUACUGAUUAUUAUACUAGACUAAAAUGGACUUUGUACUGAUUUUCAUUGAGUUCUAUAACUGACUGAGUACUACUAACCGUGACAUUUUUGAAAUUAUUCUGUAACAACUGUAGCUCUAGAUAAACAACUAGAUUUUUCUGGUAUUGAAUACCCCCAGGACUCGAUAGCAUGGAAAGUAAAGAAUAGCAUGAUCUUGAAAAGAAUAACAAUGUUUACUUGUUCAUAACUCAUUCAUAGAGAUAUUUUAUCAAACACUUGUAGGACAUAAGCUCGUACAUAUGCUAGCAUGUCAUAAUUUCACCAUUUAAUUCACAUGGACAUUCUAUCAAACACUUGAGGAGCACAACCUAAUGCAUAUAAUCAUGGACAAUGUAUAACAUUGCAAUUACCACACCCAAACUUGCAAAUACAAGGGUUCUAACAUGGAAAUUACCAAAUUUAGUAUACAUGCUAUUUCAACUUCAUAGAACUUACAAUUAAUCAUGGAUUGAAACUCAGUUAAUGUCAUGAACAUAAAUACAAUCCAAUUUAAGCAUGUAAAUCAUGAAUCAUUAAGCUUGUAGUUUAAAAAGGGAUUCUUGGACUCUAUGGGUGAAAGGAACCCAUAGUUGAACACCUAACAUACCUGAGAAAAUUAAUUCUUGAAGGUUCUUGGAGGGAUUCUUGAGAAUUGUUCUUGUUUUCUUGAAAACUAAGGUUUACUAAUUGAAAGAGAAUGUUUUUAAGCUCACUGGAAGCUGGAAAACAGGAAAAUGGAAGCUUGGCGCGAUACGGUACAAUCAUAGUACCCCAUUGUAUGCGAAUUUAACCCUUGGCACAACGUGGCAUGAUCACGAAGUCACACUGGAAAGUCACACUUGGGAAAAUGGCAAGUGGCACGAUGCAGUGGGAUCACGAUGGCUCACUGGAUUUCGACAAUUGCCAUUUGUACCCUCUCUGUGACGUGGUGAAGUAUCAGGUGUUACACUAUUUUACUAAAAAUGCUAUAACUCUUCGUCCCGGUAUCGAAUUCGGGCGAAUUUUAUAUUGUUGUAAAGAUGUCUGAAUUUUUUUAUGCAAUGAUAUGUCUUGAACUGAAGAAUUCUAAGUUUUUUAAAAUUUUAUAUAGAAAUACUCAUGUACUGAGAGUUAAACUAAGUUAGAUAUAUACGGUGUAUUAUAAUAUCUCCCCCUUGGGAAAAUCCAUCCUCGAAUGAGACUGAUAAGCUGAAAAACACUAAUAGACUGAGUUUACACACUAAACAUGCACAGCUGAAACAUGGUUGUAUGACUAAAAUCACUGAUAAGCUGAGGUUUUAUACUUAUUAUGCAUAUCUGAUACAUGAGUACAUGGCUGAACAGAUUCAUGAAUACAUGACUGUCAUGAAGAUGUUAUGCAAAGGUAAUGAUUACCAAGUCUAUAACCGUAACUGAACAUAGAACUGAGUAAAUAUAAGGAAGACUGUUACAUCAAGUUUAAUCUAAGUUUGCGGAGAAGAGGUGAGGAUACUUGGUUCGCAUAUCUGCUUCUGUUUCCCAAGUAGCUCCCUCAAAGGAUUUAUUCUACCAAAGAACUUUGACCAAGGGAACUUCGUUGUUCCUCAGUCUGUGAAUCUAAUGAUCAAGGAUUUGGAUUGGGACCUCUUCGAAAGAGAGAUAAUUUUAAAUGUCUAUGCCCGCUAAGGGAACUAUGAUUGUUGGGUCACCAAUGCAUUUCUUUAGCAUGGAGAUGUGGAAUACUAGGUGCACUGAGGCUAGAUCUGAAAGCAACUCAAGCUCGUAAGAUACCUUUUCGAAAUGACUGAGAAUUCUAUAAGGACUGACAUAUCAAGGACUAGGCUUUCCCUUUUUUCCGAACCUCUUUACCUCCUUCAUGGGCGAGAAUUUCAAGUACACAAAAUUACCAACCUCAAACUUGAGAUCUUUACUCCUUAUAUUUGCAUACGAUUUCUGCUGGCUCUGGGUUGCCCUAUGCCUUUCUCUGAUCAACUAAACCUUCUUUAAGGCAUAGAAGAUGAGAUCGGGCCCUACUACUAUAACCUCACCUACCUUGAACCAACCAAUUAGUGAUCUACAUCUCUUAUCAUAAAGAGACUCAAACGGAACCAUAUGAAUACUAGAAUGAUAAUUGUUAUUCUAUGUGAAUUCAAUCAAAGGUAAGUGGUCAUCCCAACUACCUCUAAAAUCAAUCAAGCAUGCUCUUAACAUACCUUCUAGAGUCUGAAUGAUCCUUUCUUCUUGACUAUUUAUCUGAGGGUGAAAGGUUGUACUGAGGUGAACUUGGGUACCAAGACCCUUUUGGAAUGCUUUCCAAAAGUGAGAGGUAAAUUGGGUACCUCUAUCUAAGAUGAUGGAUACUGGGACUCUGUGUAAUCUGACCAACUCUUUGACAUAGAGUUUGGCAUAGUCCUCGACUAAAUAUGAGGUAUGGAAUAGAAAGAAAUGAACUGAUUUGGUCAUCCUGUCUACAAUGACCCAAAUUGAAUCAUAAUGAUGAUGAGUACGAGGCAAACCCAUCACAAAGUCCAUGUUCACUUCUUCCCAUUUCUAUGUAGGAAUAUUGAACUCCUGCAUAGACCCACUAGGCUUCUGGUGUUCAACCUUAACCUACUGACAUGUAGAGAACUUAGAUACAGACUCUGCAAUAUCCCUUUUUAUUCUACUUUACCAAUAUAUCUCCCACAAAUCACGGUAUAUCUUAGUAGCCCCUGGAUGAAUUGAGUUCCAUGGACCAUGCACUUCUGCAAGAAUUUGCUGCCUCAAGUCAUCUAUGCCUGGCACAUAUAACCGACCCUGGCAACGCAGCACACCAUCUUUCCCUUAGGAGAAAACCUAUACUUUUUGAUCUCUGACUAACUUUUUCAACUUAACUAGACUGGGAUCUCUGUCUUGCUUUUCCUUUACUUUGAAAACCAAAGAUGAUUCAGAAUUAUUCUGCACCCAUACACUACCCUCUACUGAAUCAACUAAGAGAACACCUAGUCGUAAAAGCUGAUGAACUUCAUGAACUAACUUCUUCUAACCAUUCUCAACAUGAGCCACACUAUCCAUAGAAUACUUAAUGAGAGCAUCUGCCUUUACAUUGACCUUGCUCGGAUGAUACAAAAUACUCAUAUCAUAAUCUUUUAACAACUCUAACCAUCUUCUCUGGCAUAAAUUCAAAUAUUUCUGAGAGAACAUAUACUGCAAGCUUUUGUGAUCUGUGAACUAAUCGACAUGCACCCUAUACAAAUAAUUCCUCCAGAUCUUUAAGGCAAAUACUACAGUUGUUAGCUCAAGAUCAUGGAUAGGGUAAUUCUUCUCAUGAGACUUAAUCUGUCUAGAGGCAUAGGCUACGACCUUACCUCUCUGCAUGAGGACACAACCAAACCUACUCUAGACUUAUCACAAAUACAACAACCCAUAUGAACCAUCUGGUAACGUUAGAACCGAGCUGAGGUAAGUCGAGUCUUCAACUUCUAAAAAUUUUUCUCGCAAGAAUCUGACCACUAAAACUUAAAUUUCUUCUGAAUCAAUCUAGACAUGGGGGAUUCUAUAGAUGAAAACCAUCUAAAAAUUUGACGAUAAUAGCCAUAUAAACCUAAGAAACUCCUGAUAUCUAAUGGGGAAAUGGGUCUAGCCUAGUUUCUCACUGCUUCAGUCUCUUAAGGAUCAAAUCUAAUACCAUCAUCGGAAAUAAUCUGACCAAGUAAUGGUACUGACCUUAGCCAAAAUUCACACUUACUAAAUUUGGCCAAUAAUUGAUGGGCUCUAAGAGUCUGAAGUACAAUUAUGAGGUGAUUUUCAUGAUCAUUCUCCCUAUGGGAAUAGACAAGAAUGUCAUCGAUGAAGACUAUAAUGAAUAUGUCCAAGUAAUGCUUGAUCAUGCAAUUUAUUAAGUCCAUGAAGGCUGUUGGGGCAUUAGUGAGACCAAAGGAUAUGACUAGAAACUCGAAGUGACCAUACCAGGUUCGGAAAGCUAUUUUUGAAAUGUCACAUUCUCUGACUCUGAGCUGAUUAUAGCCUGAUCUGAGGUCUAUCUUAGAAAACUAACUAGCGUUCUGAAGUUGUCCAAAUAAGUCAUUAAUUCUAGAAAGUUGGUAUUUAUUCUUGACUGUGACUUUAUUCAACUGACUGUAGUCUAUACAAAUCCUGCAAGAAUCAUCUUUCUUACAUACAAAUAAGACUUGUGCGCCCCAUAGGGAAAUGCUAGGUCUGAUGAACCCCUUGUCUAAAAGGUUCUUUAAUUGCUCUUUUAACUCUCUAAGUUUAUUUGGUGCUAUUCUGUAUGGAAGAGUAGAUAUAGGCUGAGUAUCUAGAAGAAGGUCUAUUCCAAAGUCAAUUUUCCUUUUGGGAGAAACUCUAGGAAGAUCUUUGGGAAAUAUAUCUGAGAAUUCAUUCACUACUGGAACUGACUCAAAACUAGAAGUCUCUAAACUAGAGUCUUUGACUCAUAUGAUAUGAUAGACACAUCCCUUGGAUAUCAUUCUUCUCUCUCUAAGGUAUGAAAUCAACUGACCCUUGAGCAUUGUAGCACUACCCCUCCAUUCUAGGAUUGGUUCAUUUUGAAACUAAAAAUAAACAAUUCUAUUUCUACAAUCAACUGAGGCAUAGCAUGAAUGGAGCCAAUUUAUACUAAGAAUAACGUUGAAAUAUGUUAUCUCUAACUCUACUAAGUCUGCUAAAGUGAAUUUCUAAGAUAUCAUAACUGGACAGUUCAUGUAUACCCACCGGGCUAUGAUAGAAUGACCCAGUAAGGUACAGACUAAGAAGGGUUUUGUUAAGACUUUUGGUUUGACCUUAAAGUUGGAUUUUAUGUAAGGAGUUACAAAAGAUAGAGAAGCUCUUAGAUUUAACAAGGCAUAAAUAUGUAAAUAGAAGAUAUUUAACGUACCAGUGACCACAUUAGCAAAACUUUUUUGAUCUUGUCGAGACUGAAGUGCAAAGAUCCUAUUUAGUUGUUGCCCACUGGUGGAACUCAAAGUGGCACCUUGUUGAUUCGGGCGAUCGUACUGAGCUGAAGGAAGAUUGUACUAACCCUGAGAACCUGAAUAAGGACAAUCUCUGAUUCUGUCUCCUGGAUUGCCACACCCGAAACAAACACCACUGCUAGCUCUGCAGAAACCCUGAUGGUUUCCACCAUAUUUCUAACAAAGAGGAUUUGUUCGAGCAUUGCUGACACUACCCUGAGAUUUAAAGCCUGGCACCCUAUAUUUUUUACCAUUUCUGAACUUAGGGAUUGGAGCACUGGCUAAGGACAGAGCUGGAACUAAAUAUUUUAGUUGAUACUGGGAAUGGUUACCAUACUCUGAUUUAGGCUGAGUGAAAUUAAAGCUACUGGUUCUGUCUCUCUUGCCUUCCCUCUCUCUCUCUCCUUAUUCUUAGCCUCUUUUAUAUUGUGAGCAUGGACCAUGAGUCUAGAUAUGUCCAUCUCCUUAAUUAACAUCACAGUUCUGCACUCCUAAACCACACUCUCUAAUACCUCAUAUACGAACUUGUUCAUUCUGGACCUAACCUAUUAUCUGCUACUACAUGGGGAGCAGACCUAGCUAAUGGAGUAAACUUAAGGGAAUACUCUUUCACAGCCAUGUUUCCUUGCUGGAGAUUGAUAAAAUCUAACACCUUGGCUUCUCUCAGCUCUAAGGAAAAGAAUCUAUCUAGAAAGGCAGUAGCAAACUCUUCCCAUUCUAUGGGCUCUGCAUCUGUUCCCCUGUCUACCUUCCACUAUUUAAACCAUGUAUGAGCUGCAUCCAUUAGCUGAUAUGCAUCUAAAUCAGCACUCACACUAGAUGUCACUCCCAUAAUAUUUAUGACUAUCUGAACCUGGUCAAGGAACUCCUGUAGAUCCUCUUUGGGCUUAGAUCCUGAGAAUAGGGAAGGAAUCAUUCGGGUAAAGUCUUGAAUCCUAGCUACAGCAGUAUUGGACACUGGGUUGGCUUGAACCACAGUUGGUUUUUCAUUCUGAGUUGCUAUGGAAUUGGCUAAAGUGGUGAACGCAGCUCUAAAUUUUGCAUAGGAGACAUGCUCGUCUAGGGGAUCUGCCUGAAUGGGUUGAGGUGCUGACUUAUUUCCUGUUCUUCUUCCAUUAUUCUUUUUAGGAGGCAUGUUCUGUAAAUAGAAGUAAGAAAAGGAUCAAACUGAGAGUUUAACUUAAGCUUAUGCUUACUCAUACGACAUGUAUACGGAAAGAAGGGAAACUUUUCCUAAACACUUCUUGUAGCCUCUUGCCUAUAAGUGUGGCGUGCUAUACACCCAUGACAAGACUCUCCUGAUAUGGCUUUUAGACUCCCUAGGACUCAUUUGAACCUUAGGCUCUGAUACUAAGUUUGUAACGCCCCGAGUCUGCACCCUGGAUGCUACACGGUGCUUAUGAUCCCAAGGGACCGUAAGCUAACCCAUGACGGAUACCUGUUGUGAGCACUGAAUAAUAAUAGUGUAAUAAUGCAGAAAAUAGGCUAAAAUACCAUAAGGUUCACAAUUUGAAUACUGAUAAAGAAUAACAACUAUAAUAACAUCUAGUAAAAUAUUUGAAAUGUGAAAUACUGUCUAAACUAGUCUAGUCUGAAAAGCCUCUAGCUGAAUUGUCUGAAAGUAGAGUUGAUGGGACAAGCCCCCAACUAACUCCGACUACUAAAAUACUAAAAUAAAAACAUAUCCUCGAUAGAUGAGGACUUACUAUUGAAUCUACUACUACUAUCUGAAUCUGUCUAUGAGCGGUCAAGAACCCAAGCAUCCGAACCUAUGAUAUGAGACAUCAUAGCAUAAGAGAAAGUAUGCGUCAGUACGUGGACUGUACUGGUAUGCUAGAUGAGGUAAGGCUGAAUGCAAGGGUUCAUAUGCAUGAACAAUAACUGACUGAAUAAUAUAUAGAAACUAAAUAAUAGUACAUGGAUAAUUGAAAUUAUUGUAAAUACUGAGUAUGCAAUACUGUGCAUAUAUAUGUGUAUUGUAUCUAAGCUUUAACUGAAGCCGAGUACUGAAUUCUUAUAACUAAGUAACUUAUAAUUGAGUGACUGUAUCUGACAGUCCUGAUUCUGUAGAACUGAAUUAAGUUCUAUACUAAGACUAAAACUAAAACUGUGAGAGGUAAUCAUCUAACCGAUAUGCCCCUUUCUAAAUAUAUUUGGGGUCUAACCUGUAACUCCAGUUGGAAGGGUUCAUUACCGUGCCACGGGUAAAGACAAGCUGAAAAGUCACCCUCAUCUAACAAGUGCCCUAAAUAAAAAUAGUGGUACCCUUAACUGGUAGGUUAAAACACCUCAUUAACCCUCAACUAGAAGGUUGAUGUCUCAACCUAUGUUGGAUACGUAGUUUUAGAAUACAAGGACUGCUUCUAAGGAUCACACCUCUACUGGCAGGUGAGCCUCCGUCCUCUGAUUCACUCGGUGCUGAAUCCUACUCCCAUCUAAAGGACACUGAUUAUUAUAUUGGACUGAACUAGACUUUGUACUGAGUUUUACUGAGUUCUGUAACUGACUGAGUACUACUGACCAUGACAUUUUUGAAACUAUUCUGUAACUACUAUAGCUCUAGGUAAACAGUUAGAUUUUUUUAGGUAUUGAAUAUCCCCAGGACUCGAUAGCAUGGAAAGUAAAACAUAGCAUGAUCUUGAAAAGCAUAACAAUGUUUACUUGUUCAUAACUCAUUCAUAGAGACAUUUUAUCAAACACUUGUAGGACAUAAGCUCAUACAUAUGCUAGCAUGUCAUGUUUUCACCAUUUAAUUCACAUGGACAUUCUAUCAAACACUUGAGGAGCAGAACUUAAUGCAUAUAAUCAUGGACAACAUAUAACAUUGUAAUUACCAUGCCCAAACUUACAAAUUCAAGGGUUAUAACAUAGAAAUUAACCAAUUUAAUAUACAUGCUAUUUCAAUUUCAUAGAACUUACAAUUAAUCAUGGAUUGAAACUCAAUUAAUGUCAUAAACAUAAAUACAAUCCAAUUUAACCAUGUAAAUCAUGAAUUAUUAAGCUUGUAGUUUAAAAUGGGAUUCUCGGACUCUAGGGGUGAAAGGAACCCAUAGAUAAACCCCUAACAUACCUGAGAAAAUUAAUUCUUAAAGGUUCUUAGAGGGAUUCUUGAGAAUUGUUCUUGUUUUCUUGAAAACUAGGGUUUCCUAAUUGAGAGAGAAUGUUUUUAAUCUUGAGAAAAGUGAGUAAAUAAUGAUCUAAUAGGUUAUUUAGGGACUUCAUUUCGUGUUUAGGCUGAUUAGGGGUUUUGAGAUUUGACCAAACAGCCCCUGAAAUAAAAUCUUGGAAACUAAAAAUCCCAACUAGCGCAACAUAGUGAAAUCACUCCAACUCACUAGAAACUACACAACUGGGAACUGGAAGCUUGGCGCGAUGCGAUACCAUUCUAUCAUGACCCAAGGCCCUGGCCGCAUGGGGCAUCCCAAACCACACAGGCCCGAGAUACCCCUGUAUCUCCCCAACCCACUAGUGAUAUUGUCCGCUCUGGUCCCAGGCCUGCACAGCUUUAAAAUGUAUCACUAGGAAGUAAGUCUUUCUCACUUAUAUACCCAGCAUCCUUCUUGUGUUUUGCCGAUGUGGGACUCUUUUCUAAGUUAGGGUGUCACAUACACCCCCUUAUUGACUCAGCGUCCUCGCUGAAAUUUGCCCCACCAAAUAGGAUUUACAUACACUCAGUUUGAACUCUAGCCCACAUCGAUUGAGACGACAUAAGAGUGGCUCUAAUACCAUGUUGUAAAUUCCCAAAUUUGGGUCCCGAGAUAUCACACGGUGCUUCGGGUCACAAGUGACCCCAAGUUAACCCUUCUACUGGCAUAACUCAUAAGCAACUAAAUAAAAAGUAUAAAUCUAUACAAAUUUGUGGAAAAAUAACUCUUUUCUGAAUCCGAUUGAUACAAAACUGAAUUUUACAAGAUUACAAUUCUGCCUUUACAACCAAAACUGAAACUGAAUACAUCAACUUCUACUGACUGUCUAUGAAGCUUCUACUAGUACUGACUGUAGGUAGCCUGGUCAUGACUCCCGACUAUCCCAACUCAAUACGACUGAAUAAAGAAAAUACAACACUAUUAGUUCUGCAUAACUGACCCAAGCCCUUGAAUCAAAAGGACUCAUCACUUACUGACUAGAUACCACAAACUGACUGGAUCUUAAGAUGCAUACUAUACCUUAUACCUAUAUUCCAAGAAAACAUAGCCCACAUACAAAUAUGUGGGUCAGUACCAUGGAAAUGUAUCGAGCAUAUGGGGUUGCAAUGCAUACAUAAAAUAAUAUCUUAAUAUCAUCUCAGUUUAUAAAAUUAUGCAUGCUGAUAUAAAUGACUCACUUAGCUCAAAUUAAAUCAUCGAAAUCAUGGAUGAAAAAUACAUGCAAAGUAAAACAAGUGAGUCAUUACAAUAAGUUCUCAAUUCACUUCUUCUUUGAUUUCAAACAUGUAGAGCAAUCAAGUUUCAAAACAAUUCUCUUUAGAACAUAAUAUCUCAAUCUUUCAGAAAUAAUAACUUUCUCAGAACCAAUCUUUCAAAACAUAUACAUUCAUCUUAGAUAGGAGGGUACACACACGGACACGUUGGGAGUCUCUCAUAACCGACAUACACCAUGUAAGCUACAUGGAGUCCAACUUUCUACCCACGUUGAGGAAAGUUACCUUAUUCCUUGCCAUCAGAGUAGGACCUUAAAUUAUCAAUCCAAACAUUAGUGAUCACUAUGAAAAUCAGCCUCAAUUCUGGCUCCUACGGGGGAACGUAGUUCUAGGGAAGUACCAAACCCACUAUACCUCCCGCUCGGUGCUAAAGACUACUCCCAGACUUGGCUCAAAUCUUUUCAAAAGAAAAUCCACCAUAAAACAGUUCAACAAUUCACAAUAGGAGCCAUCAUGCUACCUCUUUCAUAAUGAAUCAAUAAAAGUGGAUUUCUUUUCUCAUCUCGGGUUCAAAAUCAACCCCAUUUUACGAUCGAAAGGUCAAAGCUUCUUUAUCUUUUCAAAUCAUUCAAAUUCAAGGUGUUUAUAACAUAUGUUUUCUCAAAAACAACAAUCCUAAAUAGAGUUCAAAACCCAUGUCUCAAUAUUACAUUAAAACUUAUCAAGAUUCAAGCUUUACAUCAUAAACACAUAUAAAUUUCUUCAAAAUUUGGAAAUUUCAGCUUUAAUCACAAAAUAUCAUUGUUCUCAUAUAAUUCCACUUUAAAAUAUCAAAAAUAUCAUAAUCUCAUGAGAAUCAAUAUAGGAUGUAAAUUCAUGCUUCAAAUUCAUAAUAAAACAUAUAAAAUUCAUAACUUCUUAAAAGAAAAAUAUUUUUGGGCACAAGAAUGAAAGGGUUUCCUUGUUGAAAACCCCACAUACCUUGAAAUUGAAGCUUUGGGUGAACUCUAAACCUUGGAACUCUAUUCGUUAAAAUAAUAGGUGCUUCUUGUAGCCCCCGGAAUGGGGAUUCCGAACCUCGAAGAAUUAUUGAAAACUCAUGGUUGACUCUUGAGAUAUUUGAAUUUUUAGGUUGAAACCCUAAUGAAUUUUCUUUGUGAUUUUGAGAGAAAGUAAACUUAUUUUGGUGUUAUGGGCGUUUAAUCCCGUGCUAUAGACAUAUAUAGGGGUGUUUUUGGCACUUGGAAGUGAGGUAUACGGCGCACAACCCAUGGAAGACCUUAAGGUGUGCGUCGCACACCUUAUGGAAGACAUAUAAAUGUGCCUCGCACUCCCAAUCCACACAUUUUAUUGGGUGGCGCAUUGCCCAUCGCACACCCUUACUGCCUCUCACAAAAAUGGGCAUAACUUUUCGCUCGGGAAUUGGAUUUUCACAAAAUUGGUAUCGUUGGAAAGCUAAUUCAAUUAUCUACAAUUUGAUAGGUCUUUGGAUGAAAAAUUUCAUGUAUAUUAAGAGAUAUACACGUUUGAAGUAGCCCCUUGUAGAAUCGAAUGCCAAACUUUAGAUAACUUAAUUGGUCUUAGCUUAACUUUGUUCUAGAUCAUUGCCAUGAACAUUUUUCACCUCUAAACUACUCCAUAGGCUAGGAUAAUGAUCAUGAAACUUGUAUUCACAAUCGACUCAUUUGGAUUAAAGCUUAGAUAUGUAGGAACGACGGUUAGAAUUUUAGCACGAAAAUACGGGGUAUUACAUUAUCUCCCCCUUGGAAACAUUCGUCCUUGAAUGUAGAUAAUUAACCUGAAACAUAGAGGAAUCUUUGUCUUUAAGCUGACAUGUGCAACUGAUAGAACUGAAUCACUAGAUCUCAAGAAUAAUGAACUUCUGAACUGGUUUGCAAGUGCAUGAAUCCUCAAGAAAAUAACUAUAUGGCUAAGAUAGAAACGAGAGUGUCAACUCAUGAGAAAGGAUGAGAGGUUUAUGACAUGAAAAUAUGGGCUAUUACAGCAUCCCCCUCUUGGGAUCGCUCAUCCCCAAAUGAUAAUAAUUUGGUGAGAAUACUAGGAAGAGAUUGUGAUACUACACAGGAUACUUACGAACUGAAUCAUGACUUAAUAUCUAAAUGAUAAUAAUUUGGUGAAAAUACUAGUAACACAUUGCCUCUUGGAAUGGACAUACGCAUGAGACUGCGGAUAGUAUGACUAGGUGGAAAAAUUAAGAAUCUAUAGGAGCUUAUCUACUUGCUUGCUAGACUGGAUUGCAGGCUAUAAGGACUGAAUCAUAUUCACUGCCCAUACUCAAAUGGAGUAUUUCUUCAGCAUUUUUCUAUGAAAUUCUAUUAACAUUACGGAGCAACGGAUUUAGGCAUGAUCUAAACAAAACAUCUAACUAAGGAAUCACAACAUUGAUAUAAAUCCAUAGCAUGAAAUAAAAAUAUAUAACUCAUAAACUAGGAUAGGAUUGCUAGGCUGCAGGCAAUGCAACUUCUUACUUUCAAGCUUAGCAUCACUUCUCAAAUGCUCUCUCAACUAUACUAUUCCCCUUAAAUACCAUACUAUUUGAUUCAACUUAUAAUUCUCACAUGGGCACUGAUAAAUCUUUCUGCAAGGUCUAAAGUAAACUAAGUCCUCUCGCCAAGGUCAAGACUAACUCAAAAAUCAUAAGAUACAACAUGCCACUCCACAAUACUAGUGUAAACCACACAAUUUAAUAUUCUAUAUCUUCUUAGAUCUCACACUCUAAGCAUAACAUGCCUUACCAUUUCAAUGACUAAUUCAAAACUCUUGAUAUGGAUUCACUAGCGGAUAUUGCAUUUAUCAUCUUACACCCAACAUGACAUUCAAGCCUAUCAUUAAAAAUCACAUAUAACUUUAAGGCAAAUACACAUAAAGGCAUACUUCACAUAUUUUCUAAACAUUUAUCAACAACAAUUUUCUUGCACUAUUCUUAAAAACAUACACAUAAUUUUCUAACUAACCAUGACAUGUAUCAAAGACUUGGCCUCAAUCUUACUUCACACUUUAGCCUUAGAUAGAAAAGCAUAAAUAAUCUUUCUUAAUGAGGGUCAUCAAGUCUCUCACAUCUAAACCAUUUCUUAUCCACUAUCUUCGCCACAAUCUUAACAUAGAAAGAGGUCACCGAAGGGCUAACACAUAUGAACUUGAAGCACGAAAACUAUAAUACAUAACAUUAACACUUAUCUUAGGCCUGAGGAAUAAAAUAACAAAGGCAUAGAUUCAUUAAAGAAAUCUAAGCUGAGGACAUGCAUGAUAUAAUGCUGACUUCACUAGUAUCAUGAGUUUAAAAACUGGUCAUACUCUGAAACAUGAGUUCAUACUUAUCAUGAGUUAUUCAACAUAAGACUGGAGUUCAUAGAUUCAUGAGAGAUAACUCGAAUCACAGAGUGAAGCUGUUACAUACCUCCUAGAAGCUGAGAAUGGGCUUGAGCAUACAUGAUGGGUAUAACCAUAGGCCUGUGGCAUGGAUUUAUCACGCAAGUGAUGGAUUUGGUGUUGUAAUGAGUAAAAUCCAAGGAAUACUCUAGAGUAAGAAGGGAUCACUAUCCCAUCAUAAAUCAUUGUUGACAUGAAUCACAAUCUAAUUCUCAAAACUUGGUUUGGUUCUUCACUAACCAUCUCCCCCUUAGGUCAAAGCUGGUAUUCUAAGCAUGAUGGUCUACUACAUAUCGUCGAGAUUAAGACAUAAUUUAAUUGUUCUAAUAUCUACACAUAAAUGCUAAACUCAUAAGAAUAAACUAAUUUCAAACUUACCAACUUCAUUCUUGAACAACCCAUCCAUAUAUCAUCCUUAAUUUCUAUCUUCAAUAAUCAUCAUCAAAGACUUACACUCUCAUUCACAACUAUACCUACAUCUCUAAUCACAUAAUCAUAGCCUACCAAGAUCACACUUCUAUACUUAUACUUUUCCCAAACCAUGAGAAUAAUAAUCAUACAUAAAAGGCUCAAAAUCUUCAAUCAUAACUCCUUACCUUAGCUAUCAAGAACAUUAUAAAUUAUCUAACUAGCCUUUCUCCACCUUCAACUCAACGUUACUACUAACCACAUAAUAUACAAUAAUCCUCAAAAAAUAAUGCAUCCCCAUAGCACCUUGGGCAUACCUCUACAUCAUACUUAAUUGUGAACACAUGAUCUUACACUCUUGCAUACACUGUUCAGGCCUACUAGAUCACCUCUAUAUAACUAGAAUCAACAACCGAACCAUCAAUUGUUCAAACUUAAUGUAUAGUGCUAAACAUGGUUUACAACCAAAUCUCACACACAAUUCUCACUUCAAAAUUAUAGAACACAGCAUUAAGAAAAACUAGUACACAAUGACAAUCGAUCGUAAUCAUAUGACCUAUCUUAUUCAUAAUCCGUUAACACAUCCUCCUUCUUCACAUCAUUACUAUUUACCCAUCUUCACACCUAAAUUACUUUCAUAGCUCUAUAAAUUUCAACUAACUUCCUCUUGCAAUCUCAGGAAAGCCUAAAUUAACAAUACUCAACCACCAAGUACUUUUACUAAUAAACUGUACUUUUCUAGCACUACAAACACCAUCAACAACCCUUUUCAUACUUCAAGCGAACAACAAUCCAUCUUAACUAAUAAUCCCUUUCCCUAACUUCACUAAACUAACAAACAAAGGUAUAUCACUUCAUUAAUAAUUCAAGCAUAAGCAACAAAAUUAAGCUAUACAUAUUCAAUAAAUCGCUCUUACCACAUUUCUUGUCACUACACUUCUAAACCCACACUUUCAACUAACACAAGAACAACAAGAUAGACAACAGUUGCUAGUGAAUAGAAAUAGGCCUCAAACAGCUUCACUAGACUUUGAUUUUGUGUUUUGAACAAGAAAAUUAGAUGAAUAACAAAGCAACUAUGCUAGUGAGUCAAAAUAGGCCCCACACAAUUUCACUAGACUUUGAUUUUCAAAAACACCAUGAUAAUAAGAUUACAUAAUACAAGGGAUAGAAACUUGACACAAUAUUCAAUGAUCUAAGAAUAAACAUCUUACUCAGUCUUAACUAAACAAUUCAUAAGAACGAGGGCAUAACUUUAAAUUUGACGAACUUAUAACACUAGAAGGCUCCUCUCAAGCCGCUUUGUGUAAUUCUGAAACUUCUGCAAGCAACCAUAAGAGCAUUAUCUGGGGUGGAACUGUAACUUAUUGAUCGUGCUAUCUCAAGAAUAAUACAUAGAUAGGGAAGUAUAGAUUUACAUUAUGGAUUCUGGGAAAAAAUCUGAAAGCACAUCUGACUUGGGUUUACUGCACGACUUCUCAUGAAUAUGAAUAAAGUAUUUCAAACUUUGGAACUUAAAAGCACUGAUGGGAUACUUUCUAGCCCACUUAUAACCUCAUAACUAUCUAUGGAGAAUUAGGCUUGACUAUUUUUGGUACCUUAAAAAUAAGGCAGAGAUGGCCAGAAUAGAGUAAGAUGAGAAUUUAUAUAAGUUUCUUAGAGAACCUUUUUAUGGCACGGUCUGAGACUUGAAAGAAAGUGAACACUUCCUAAAUGCCCUGUAGCCUCUCGAAGAAAAGUACAGACAUCUCCAUACCGUUCUGCAAGACUCUACUAGACAUGGCUUCACAGAAACCCUAGGACACUUAAACUUUGCGCUCUGAUACUAAGUUUGUAACAACACAAAAUUGGGUCCCGAGACGUCACACGGUGCUUAGGGUCACAAGUGACCCCAAGUUAACCCUUCUACUGGCAUAACUCAUAAGCAAUUGAAUAAAAAGUAUAAAUCCAUACAAAUUUGCUGAAAAAUAACUCUUUUCUGAAUCUGAUCGAUACAAAACUGAAUUUUACAAAAUUACAAUUCUUCCUUUACAACCAAAAUUGAAACUAAAUACAUCAACUUCUACUGACUGUCUAUGAAAUCUCUACUAGUACUGAAUGUAGGUAGCCGGGUCAUGACUCCCGACUAUCUCAACUCAAUACGACUGAAUAAAGAAAAUACGACACUAUUAGUUCUGCAUAACUGACCCAAUCCUUUGAAUCAAAAGGACUCAUUACUUGUUGACUGGAUACCAUGAACUGACUGGAUCUGAAGCUGCAUCCUAUACCUUGUAACAAUAUUUCGAGAAAAUGUAGCCCACAUGAGAAUAUGUGGGUCAGUACCAUGGAAACGUACCGAGCAUAUGGGGGUGCAAUGCAUAUAUAAAAUAAUAUCUUAAUAUCCUCUCAAUUUAUAAAAUUAUAUAUGCUAAUAUAAAUGGCUCACUUACCUUAAAUUAAAUCAUCAAAAUCAUGGAUGAAUAAUAUAUGUAAAGUAAAACAAGUGAGUCAUUACAAUAAGUUCUCAGUUCACUUCUUCCUUGGUUUCAAACAUAUAGAUUAAUCAAGUUUCAAAAUAAUUCUCUUUUGAACAUAAUAUCUCAAUUUUUUGAAAAUAAUAACUUUCUUAGAACCAACCUUCAAAACAUAUAAAUUCAUCUUAGAUAAGAGGGUACACACACGCACACAUUGGGAGUCUCUCAUAAUCGAUAUAAACCAUGUGAACUGCAUAGAGUCCAACGUUCUACCUACGUUGAGGAGAGUCGCCCUAUUCCUUUCCAUCGGAGUAGGACCUUAAAUUAUCAAUCCAAACACUAGUGAUCACUAUGAAAAUCAGCCUUAAUUCUGAAUCUUAUGGGGGAACAUAAUUCUAGGGAAGUACCAAACCCGCUAUACCUUCCGCUCGGUGCUAAAGACUACUCCCAGACUUAUCUCAGAUCUUUUCAAAAGAAAAUCAACCAUAAAACAGUUCAACAAUUCACAACGGGAGCCAUCAUGCUACCCCUUUCGUAAUGAAUCAAUAAAAGUGGAUUUCUUUUCUCAUCUCGGGUUCAAAAUCAACUCCUUUUUACGACUAAAAGGUUAAAGCUUCUUUAUCUUUUCAAAUCAUUCCAAUUCAAGGUGUUUAUAACACAUGUUUUCUCAAAAACAACAAUCUCAAAUAGAGUUCAAAACCCAUGUCUCAAUAUUACAUUAAAACUUAUCAAGAUUCAAGCUUUACAUCAUAAACAUAUAUAAAUUUCUUCAAAAUCUAAAAAUUUCAGUUUUAAGCACAAAAUAUCAUUGUUCUCAUAUAAUUCCACUUCUAAAAUAUCGAAAAUAUCAUAAUCUCAUGAGAUUAAAUAUAGGAUGUAAAUUCAUGCUUCAAAUUCAUAAUAAAACAUAUCAAAAUCCAUAACUUUGUAAAAGAAAAAUAUUUUUGGGCACAAGAACGAAAGGGUGUCCUUGUUGAAAACCCCAUAUACCUUUAAAUUGAAGCUUUGGGUGAAUUCUUAACCUUAGGACUCUAUUCGUGAAAAUAAUAGGUGCUUCUUGUAGCCCCAGAAUGGGGAUUCCGAACCUCAAAGAAUUAUUGAAAACUCAUGGUUGAGUUUUAAGAUAUUUAAAUUUUUAGGUCAAAACCCUAAUGAAUUUUCUUUGUGAUUUUGAGAGAAAGUAAAUUUAUUUUGGUGUUAUGGGAGUUUAAUCCCGUGUUAUAGACAUAUAUAGGGAUGUUUUUGGCACUUAAAAGUGAGGUAUGCGGCGCAAAACCCGUGGCAGACCUUAAGGUGUGCGUCGCACACCUUAUGGCAGACAUAUAAGUGUGACUCACACUCCCAAUCGCACACAUUUGAUUGGGUGACGCAAUGCCCAUCGCACAUCCUUAUUGCCUCUUACAAAAAUUGGCAUAACUUUUCGCUCAGGUAUUGGAUUUUUGCAAAAUUGGUAUCGUUGGAAAGAUAAUUCAAUUAUCUACAAUUUGAUAUUUCUUGAGAUGAAAAGUUCCAUUUAUAUGAAGAGAUAUACAUAUUUGAAGUAGUCCCUUGAGGAAUUGAAUGUCAAACUUUAGAUGAAUCAAUUGGUCUUAGCUCAAGUUUGUUCUAGGUCAUUGCCAUGAACAUUUUUCACCUCUAAACUACUCCAUAGGCUAGGAUAAUGAUCAUGCGAAUUGUAUUCAUAUUCGAAUCAUUUGGAUUAGAGCUUAGAUGCAUAGAAAUGAUGUUUCAAAUUUUAGCACAAAAAUACAAGUUAUUACAAUCGUGGUACCCCUACUGUAUGUAAAUUUAACCCUUGACGCGAUGCCCCAUGAUUGUGGAGUCAUACUGGAUAAUGACACUUGGGAAAUUGGCUGGUGGCAUAAUGCAGUGGGAUCAUGAUGGCUCAUUAGAUUUUGACAAUCACCAUUUGCACCCUCUUUGCGAUGCGGUGAAGUACCAAGUGGUACACUGUUUUACUAAAAAUGCUAUAACUUUUCGCUCAGGUAUCAAAUUUGGGCAAAUUUUAUAUCAUUGAAAAGCUAACUAAAUUUUCUACAUAAUGUCAGGUCUUAAACUGAAUAAUUCUAAGUAUUUUAAAAAUUUAUAUAGGAAUGCUCAUAUACUGAGGGUUGAACUAAGCUAGAGAAAUAUGGAGUAUUACACUAAUAGGUCUCAAGUCUGAAAAAUCGUUCACAUUAUCCUUAUAAGAAAGUAACACUAAAUUGGUAUGAGUAAUAAACUUUGACAAUUCUUAUCCAUAGAAAAUGACUCUUAACAAUUUAGUCAUAUCUUCACCUAUGAUGUCCCAACUUUUCUAAAAAUAAAAACUUGAGAAACCAUCUGGGUCACAUGCACUUUCUCCAUUAAUUUCGAAGGCCAUUACUUUAAACUCUUCUUAAUUUGGAAACCUUGUCAUUUCCUCAUUCUACUUCUCUAUUAUUAUUUUUGGAAGGCACUACAACAUACUCUAGUCUUGACUUAUGCCUUCCUCUUUAAAUUAUUCAUUGAAGAAUGUAACAGCUUCCUCCCUAAUUUCGUGGUUGGUUUGAAAAAUUGCACCUUGAUUAUUGAUAAUUUAGGCUAUGUGAAGAUUCUUCCUUCUACCCUUAACAAAUAUGUGAAAGAACUUUGAGUUUUUGUCAUCUUCCUCAAACCACUUCAUUCUUUCUUUUUGUUUCCAAAAUUCCUCCUCCAACCUCAACAGUUUUUCAACUCAGCUUCUACUUUACAUAACUUAGCUCUAUUAUUAGUUAAUCGCAUUACCUCUAAUUGAGCUUCCUUCACUCUUAUCAUAUCAUCUAAACUAUCAAUGUUCUAAAAAAUUUUACCUUAAAUUGCCUUACUCCAUACUGAUAAAGUUUUUUUUAAUAUUUUUCAAUUUGAUUUGGAAUUCUAUAAAAGGAUUCCCCAAAAAAUCCACCUUCCAGUGUUACUGCACAACAUCCUUAAAUUGUGAGUGUUUAGCCCAAAAAUUAAGGAAUCUAAAUUGCUUGGUUGUAGGUUCUUCUGUAGAAUCACAAACCAAAUGGCAUGGUGCAUGAUCUAAGCCCAGUCUUAUUAGAUGAUGAACCAUUAUAGAAGGAAAUAGAUCCAAGCAUGCUUGGUUUACUAAAAUUUUAUCCAAUCUUUUAAAUAUACAUUCCUCCUUAAUUCUCCCAUUCCACCAAGUAUAUGUACUUUCAAUAAAACCCACAUUGAACAACACAUAAUUGUUUAUACAUAAAUAGAAAUGAGUAGCUUACUGCUGAGUGAAAGGAAGUCCACCUAGCUUUACUUCUUCUGAAAGUAUUAAAUUAAAAUCUCCUCCUACUAUUCAUGGAUUUUGGUUAGACUCUGCAAUAUGCUUCAGUUCUUUUCAUAGUUCUAACCUCUAUAAUGCAUUGCAUCUUGCAUAUAUAGAAGUAAUACAAAAAUCUUUACCAUCUUUGAACUGCCUGGAUAUCUGCUACAUAAAAUCCAAAAUGACAUGGGCUUCCUAAUCAUUUUCUCAGAAAAUUCAAAUUUUGACUGAAUAGUUGGUCAAAGAAUUUGUAAAAGCUAGCUUUCUUUUUUAUUAUUCCAGCUCCUAUGGAUUCUGAAAAUUCUCUAACAAAGCUAUAAAUGAAUAAUGGUGUUUUCUAUUUAAAUAAAUUAACCUCUUAAAUAAAUUUUGAGUGUUAACUGAUCUUAAUUCUAGAAAAUCAUUUUCUUUAACAUUGAUCACUAUUUGAUGAUUUAUCUUUGCUCCUUAUUCUAACUUGAAGUGGCAAUAGUGAUAUGCCUUUCCUUGCUCCUUUUUUCAAGCUAUUAAUAUAUCUAGGAGAUAAGUAUCCUGUCUUGCUUAUCUACUGAAUAUUUUUGUCUAAUUCUUCAUUUUUAUCUUCAUCCCUUCUCACCCCUAUCUGUUCAUCAGUCUCUUCAACUAAAUCAGGAACUUCUUUAGUAUUUUUCUGCUUUACAGUGUUGUUUUUACUUUCUUGACCAUGUUGAUUAUGUUGCUGCUAUAUAUUUGGUGGCGAUUGUUCUACACUUUUAUCAUUUUCCUUCAACAUUUUCAUAGUAGUCUCUCCCACCCUGCUUAUACAAGGACUGCCACUUCUCUGCUCUUUGUUUUCAUGGCUACAUUAUAGAUUUAGCUGUGAUGAAUGUGCCUUUUCCUUUCCUUUAUUACCACCAUUAAGCAUUGAAUCCUCCAACCUAAUGGGUGUUGAACUUUGGUUUGUAUUCUCCUGUCCUUUUAUCUUUUUAAAAUCAUCCUUUUUAUUUUCCAUUGUGUUCUUUCCUUCUACUGUUGAUUUCUCCUUUACUUCUACCUUAUUUUUCUCCAUGUCUUCUAGAGCUUCAAACUGAUUAUCUGUAGCUGGAUCAACCCUAUUCCAUAUUAUUUGUUCUCUUUCUCUUAUUCUCCCACUACCUUUUUUUAUUUCUUUGCACUUUAAACUCUUCUUCAUUAUUGCACUUCCUUUGAUCCUUAUUUUUCUGUUAUUCUUUAUUGUUGUUCUUUUCAUUCUCUAUAUCUUUCUGCCCUUGUUGAGUUUACCCUUAUUCUCUUUAUCUUUUUUGUGAUAUAAUUCUUGAUACAACACAUAGCAUUAUUGUUCAUUAUUCCCUUGGAUCAUACAAUUCUUACAGUAUUUUGAGACAUAAUCAUACUCUAUUCUAAUUCAUUUUUCUACAGCUUCUCCAUUUUUACUUCUUCAUGGCAAUGCUAAUGCUCUUUGGGAACUCACCUAGUAUAUCAAAUUCUACUUUAAGUCUUGCACAAAUUGGCCUUAUUUGAUUUUUGGUAGCUAUGUCUACUUGUAAUGGUCACCCACUGCUGUUGCCAAUGAGAAAACUAUCUCUCUACAAAAAAUAUUUGGUGGAAGAGAAGGGAAUGAGAUCCAUGCAAUGACUAUUGUAGUUUUUUCUUCAAGAUCCAACAUGGGAACCCAUUUUAAUGCUCUCAUUGGGUAAGAUCAAUUUUGAUGAUUAAUGUAAAAUGUUGAUUUUGAUAAAAAAAAAUACAUAUAAUCUUCUAGCUGAGUAGCCCUAAUGAGCACAUCUAUGUUGUUUAACAAACCAAUGUUAUAUUUUUCUUUUAAUUCACAUAGUUUAGGAAUAAGAUUUUCUCAGAUAUUAAGUAUUUGGUCAGCCGUAAGAUAAUUUACCUAUCACAGCAUAUUGAGGAUUUUCAUUGUCAAUCAUUUGAUCUACCUUUUUUUGUUCCCAUACAAUUCUAGGUUCACCAUGCCGAUAUGAAAUAGUUUAAGUGGUAUCAAUUUUAUGAUGAACGGAGUAGGUUUCAGAACGUAGCAUAAGUAGUAUUUGGUAUGGAUUCGAUGUUGAUAGACCAAUCUAUGUGGGAGGUUGGUCAGAAGUCGGAGUGGCCAAAGCCAGCAUGGCCAUUUGCCACCAAUUCAAAUAGUGUAUUAAGGUUUAUGGGAUGUAGAAUUUUUGGUAGAGAGCAUUUUUUUUUUGCCAAGAAUCACUUUUUCCAAAAAAUACCGAACCAAAAUUAUUUUCAUUUAAAUUCUAAAAAUAAAAAAUAAUUACCAAUCUAAUCUACCAUUUUUUGUUGUUUCUUCCACAUGCUCGUAGUACACCCUUUUUCUUUUAGUUUAUAUUCCUUAACUUAUAUCUCUAAAGUAUUUAAAUAUCAUCAACUUCUCAUGUUUUUUUUACUAUUUUGGACAUUUUUUCAACCUCUGCUUCUGAAUUUUUUGUGCCAAUAUGACCAUUUAAUGGCUUUUCUAUGAUAUUUGUAAUUCUCUUAAGAAAUCUAGAAGAUCUCAUUCACCUCUCUGCUAACAGCUUUUCUAUGAUUUAUAUGAGAUCAGUUCUAAAAAUAAUUAAUUCAAUGAUAUAAUUAAUGCACAAUUGUCUAUGUUACAAUUCUAAAGAAGAGACUGGCCAUGACUAAAGUUUUGUACCAUAGCGUGAUAUGAAAUAAUACAAAUCUUCUAAGAACUCACCUAUGAACUUUAAUUUCUAUGCCAUUUUUGAAUUGUAACUUGAUAAUGAAAAUUACACACCUCUUUUAAAAACUCACCUACUAACUUUAAUUUUCAUAACUUCAUCUGUUUUUCUCCAGCUUUUGCAUGGUAAAAUGUUGAUAUAUUCUUUCUUUUCCUUGGUAGAAGUAAAUAAAUUUUAGUAUGCAAAAAAGGAUUUUGGAAUAUAUAUAUAUAUAUAUAUAUANNNNNNNNNNNNNNNNNNNNNNNNNNNNNNNNNNNNNNNNNNNNNNNNNNNNNNNNNNNNNNNNNNNNNNNNNNNNNNNNNNNNNNNNNNNNNNNNNNNNNNNNNNNNNNNNNNNNNNNNNNNNNNNNNNNNNNNNNNNNNNNNNNNNNNNNNNNNNNNNNNNNNNNNNNNNNNNNNNNNNNNNNNNNNNNNNNNNNNNNNNNNNNNNNNNNNNNNNNNNNNNNNAUAUAUUGAACUGAUGAACCCUAAUAAAACAAAUGCAAUCCAAAUAGAAAAAAGAAGUUUCUCACGUGUGAAUUCAUCAACAAAGCAUUGACCAUGAUGGCAAAAGCAUUAUGCAUGUAUACAAUAGCUUGGAAAAAAAAUGAUUUCCUGUUAUCUACAACUACAUCUACGUCUUUAAUACCCCAUAUUUUCUUAGCAUAAUUUAGGUCUCAAUACAUGAGUAUUCAUAUAUAUAUAUAUAAUUUUUAAAAUAAUUGUUAUUUCUUAGUUUAGAGCCCACCAAGUUGUGAGAAAUUAAACUAGCUUUCCAAAGAUAUAAAAUUUACCUUCAUCCGAUAACAGAGUAAGAAGUUAUGGCGAUUUUAAGUUUCCGUCGUAAAACACCGUGAUUUAGGAUCGUAGCGCAUCACGGAGAAGUGUAAAAUCACAACUGUUAAAUUUCAGUGAGACUCCAUAAUUCCACCGUGUCAUGGUGAUAUCCCAUCUCAUAAUUAUCCCUUUCCAGUGAGAUUCUGCGAUUUAACCGCGUCACAGUGAUGUCCCAUCUCACAAUUGUCCCUUUCCAGUGAAGCUCCGCAAUCAUGGCGCAUCGGGGAGGUGGCCAAAAUGGCAUUCCAAAGGCAUACCGCAACUUCACCGCAUCGCACCAAACUUUUAGGUCCUAAUUGUCAAUUUCUAGUGGCCCAAUGCAAUAGCGCCGCGUCGCACCGGAGCCAAAGUUCAAGAUUUUCAUCUUUCAGUUCCAAGUUUUUAAAUUUGUUUAAGGGUAUUUGGGUCUUUUUUUCAUGGUCCUAAUCAGCCUAAAAUACGAGAUUUAACCUAUUAGUGACCUAAAUAAUCAUCAUUAUUCAAUUUCUCUUAAAUUGAAGAUCCUAUUCUCAAGAACAAAAACCCUAGCUCUCAAAUUCAAGGUUAAAUCUCAAGAACUCUUCAUCAAUCCUCUCAAAUUCAUUAACUCAGGUAUGUUAAAUGUUCAUUCAUGGGUUCCUUUCACCAUUGGAGUCCAAGUAUCCGAUUUAGAUUGUAAAAUUAUGAUCUUUUUAGGUUAUCUUGAUUUUAAUUUAUGAUUAAACCAUGAAUUUCCAUGAAUCUUGUUCUAUACCAUGUUUUAGCGAAAUUGAUGUCUAUUACUACACUCCAUAUGAUUGAAUAUUAUUGUCCACUAAUUUAAUUCAUGAUUUGUGAUAAUGGUGUUGAAUUUGUGCUUUACUACAAGUUUUAAACUAAUUCUCAUGGUCUAUGUACACCAUGCAUAUCAAGUGUUUGAUAAAAUGCUUACAAGAAUAAAUUUUUAAUAAAAGCCUUUAUAUUAUGUCCUCCAAGAAUUAGUGUCAUUUUACUAUUAUUGCUUUCGAGUCCUGAGGGUAUUAAAUACCCAAAAGUCAUAGCUAUUUACUUAGUCUCAUCUCAGUAUCUUCAGAAUAACUUCAGAAUACAUCAUGAGCAUUACUAGAUUAGUCAGUUAAACUCAGAAAUAGUCAGUAACUCAGUGUCAUUCAGUUGGCAGUAGGAUUUAGCACCGAGUGAGUAUAGGGAUGAUGGAUUCCCCUCCAGAUAGGCAAAUUUGCUAGUAGCAAUCCCUAAAAUUCAAAACUACAUGGCCAACAUAGGAUAUGAGACGUAACCUGUUAGUAUAGGCUUAACUAUCUCGCAGGGGUCACCCAUCAGAUUAGGCUUAACACCCAUUGUCCUUCAGGAUAAUACAGUAUACCAGACUAGUAGAUCCACAUAGCCAUCAUUAGUAACCAUGGCAUGGUAUUAAUACCCUUCUAACUGGGGUUACAAUUUGGAGCUUGAUUAGCUCAGAUUGGGGCAUGUCGGUUAGAUGAUAGCUCCCCGAUUCUCAGUCCAAUAAUCAGACCAGUAGUUCAGUCUCAGUGUUGUUUGACCAAGGCAUAUAGAUAUCAAUUAUUUUAGUUUACAAAUUUUUAUUCAAUUUAUGUUAUAUGCUUGUUCAUGCAUUUCCAGUAUCUACAAAUUUCACGUGCCUUCAGUAUUUAAAGACUUUCAUGCAUACACAGUAUUUGUAGAUUUCAUAUAUUUUCAGUAUCUACAGAUUUCAUGCUCUCUAUUCAGUACUCUAUGUUUUAUAUGUAUAUUUAGAAAGUUUUUUUCCUGUUCAUGAAACCAUGCAUGUCAGCCUACCUCAUUUAGCAUACCAGUGCAUUCAAAGUACUAAUCACAUACCUUUUUUUUGCGCGUAUUGUAUAAUAGGUUUUGAUGCUCAGAUCUCGAAUCGCCCUUAGACUUCUUAGACUCUCAGCAGUAGCAGUGGUGAGUCCUUACAUUUCGAGGAUAAAUUAUUUUACUUCAUGUCUCUAGUUCAGUAGUUAGUGGAUUUAGUUUGGGUAUGUCCCAUCAACUCACAGUCAUUCAGUUUAGAGGCUUUCAAACAUUACAGUUAGUUAUUUAGUACUCAAAACCUAGUUGAAUUGUCAGUUAGUUAUUCUGAUUUUCUUUAUCUUACCAGAUUCAGAUAUUUGUUUUCCAAAUUUAUGGAACAGUAUUGAUUUUAGUUAUUAAAACCUUACGGCAUAUCAAUUUUCUUUUGCAUUUAGGAUUGUUUUAUUUAGUGCUUUCAGCGGGUACCAGCUCAUGGGUUUUCUUGUGGUUCUUUGGGAUUGUAAGAACCGUGUCAAGUAGAGUUUUGUGCAUGGGUGUGCAGUGUGCCAUACUUAUGGAUAGGAGGCUACAAGGCAUUUAAGAAGGUAACGAAUAUUAUGAGGCUAACAUCUAGUGGGAGUGCUGAGUUGGCUGCAUAUCAGUUACAGGAUGUGGCCCAUACGUGGUUUAAAUAGUAAAAGGUAGAUAGGGGUGUUGAUACAGGGCCUGUAGAAUGGGAAGAGUUUGCUACAGCUUUCUUAGAUAGAUUCUUUCUAUUAGAGUUGAGGGAGGCCAAGGUCUUAGAAUUUAUUAAGUUAAGGCAAGUUAACAUGAGUGUGAAGGGUAUUCCCUCAAAUUUACUCAGCUAGCUAGGUAUUCCUCUCAUGUGGUGGCCACAAUAGAUCUAGAAUGAGCUAGUUUGUAUCUGGGGUAUUUGAUAGUGUGGUCAAGGAGUGUAGUACUGCGAUGUUUAUUAAGGAGACGGACAUAUCUAGGCUUAUAUUCCAUGCUUAAUAGAUUAAGAAGCAAAAGGCUAAUAAGAGAGAAGGAGAAAAAAAGGGCUAAAAUAGGUAGCUUUAAUUUCACUCAGUCGAGAUCAGAAGGUAGUAAUUACCUUGAAUUUCAUCAGAGGUCUGCAGCCCCAGCGCCCUUUUCAGCCAGUGCCCCAAUACCCAAAUUCAAAAAUGAUAAUCGGGAUAGAAAAACUGGCUCUAAGUACUAAGGCAAUCUUAACACUGCUUGUAUGAAUUCUUUAUGUCAGAAAUAUGGUAGGCACCAUUAAGGUGAGUGUAGAGAGGGAAGUAAUGUGUUCUUUAGAUAUGGCAAGCAAUGCUAUCGGAUCUGGGAGUGUUGGGUAGUUGCUCAGAGAGGUAGGGAGUUACGCCAAUAGGGCUAGUCCAAUCAGUUGUCAGUUCUAUCUGAUCGCCUGACUCAGUAGGGUGCCACUUCCAGUGCUACCAGUGGUUAGAGUCCAAAUAUAUUAUAUGCUUUUAAGUCCCGCCAAGAUUAGAAAAAUUCUCCUUACAUUGUUACUAGUACGUUGCAAGUCUUUCACUUACAUGUUUAUGCCUUACAAUACCCUGGAGCUUCUUUUUUAUUAUAACUUCAUAUAAAGCCGUCAAUUUUAGAGUCAGUCCUGAAACUCUAGCAGAGCCCUUUUCAGUGUCUACCCCAGUUGGUGUUUCCAUUAUAGCCAGGCAGGUACACAGGAAUUGUUCGGUCAUAAUAUCUCAGAAAGUUACUUUAGUUGAUCUCGUGGAGUUAGAGAUGAUGGAUUUUGACAUCAUUCUCGGCAUGGAUUGUCUCUACUCAUGUUAUGCCUUAGUUAAUUAUAGAAACAGAAUAAUUCAUUUUCAGUUCCCAAAUGAACCAAUCCUUGAAUGGAGGGGUAGUACUAUAGCUCUCAAGGGUCAACUUGUUUCAUACCUUGGAACGAGAAAAAUGAUAUCCAAAGGGUGUAUUUACCAUCUUGUUCGAGUCAAAUACUCAAAUUUAGAGACUUCAGCCCUUGAUUCAAUUUCAAUAGUUAGGGAACUUCCAGGUAUGUUCCCUAAUGAUCAUCUGGGAGUUUCUCUCAAAAAGGAAAUCGACUUGGGAAUAGACCUUUUUCCAGACACUCAGCCCACAUCUAUUUCUCCAUAUAGAAUACCUCCAUCUGAACUCAAAGAACUAAAAGAACAGUUGAAGGAUCUCCUAGAUAAGGGAUUCAUUAGACCCAGCGUCUCUCGGAGGGCACACCAGUUCUAUUUAUUCGUAAGAAAGAUGGGUAUCUCAGAAUGUGUAUUGAUUACCGUUAGUUUAACAAAGUCACCAUUGAGAAUAAAUAUCCACUUCCUUGAAUCGAUGAUUUGUUUGACCAACUUUAUGGAUCCAGUUAUUUUUUUAAGAUAGACCUCGGAUCAGGCUAUCAUCAUCUCAGAGUCAGAGAAUGUGACAUUCCUAAAAUAACUUUUUGAACUUGUUAUGGUCACUUUGAAUUUCUAGUCAUGUCCUUUGGUCUUACAAAUACCCCAGCAAAUUUCAUGGACUUGAUGAACCAAGUGUUCAAGCAUUACUUGGAUAUGUUUGUUAUAGUCUUCAUCGAUAACAUUUUUGUCUAUUCUCGUAGUGAGAAUAAUCAUGAAGAACACCUCAAAAUCAUACUUCAUACUCUCAGAACCCAUCAGUUGUUUGCCAAAUUCUGUAAGUGUAAAUUUUGGCUAAGAUCAGUAGCUUUUCUUGGCCAUAUUAUUUUCAAUGAUGGCAUUAGAGUUGAUUCUCAAAAGACCAAAGCGGUGAGAAACUGGACUAGACCCAUUUCUCCUUUAGACAUCACGAGUUUCUUGGGUUUGGCUGGCUAUUACCGUCAGUUUGUUAAAGGGUUUUCAUCUAUUGUAUCCCCCGUUUCCAGAUUGACUUAGGAGAAAGUUAAGUUUCAGUGGUCAGAUUUCUACGAAAAGAGUUUUUAGGAUUUAAAAACUGGACUCACCUCAUCCCCAGUUCUUACUUUUCCAGAUAGUUCAGAUGGGUUUGUUGUGUACUGUGAGGCAUCCAGAGUAGAGUUGGGUUAUGUCCUUAUUUAGAGAGGUAAGGUCAUAGCGUACGCCUCUAGACAUCUUAAGCCCCACGAGAAGAAUUAUCCAUCUCAUGAUCUCGAGCUAGCACCUGUAGUAUUUGCCUUAAAUAUUUGGAGGCAUUACUUGUAUGGGGUGUAUGUUGAUGUUUUCACAGAUCAUAAGAGUUUGCAUUAUGUGUUCUCUCAGAAAGAUUUGAAUUUAUAUCAGAGAAGGUGGUUAGAGUUAUUGAAAGAUUAUGACAUAAGUGUUCUGUAUCAUCCAGGCAAGUCCAAUAUAGUGGCAGAUGCUCUCAGUAGGUUAUCUAUAGGUAGUGGUGCUCAUGUUGAGCAUGGUAAUAAGAAGUUAGUUCAAGAAGUUCAUCAGCUUGCCCAACUUGGUGUCUGCCUAGUCAAUUUAGCAGAAGGUAGUAUAUGGGUGCAGAGUAGUUUAGAAUCCUCUCUAGUUUUUGAAGUAUAGAAAAAGUAGGAUAGAGAUCCCAGUCUUGUUAAGUUAAAAGAAUUAGUCAGAGAUCAGAAGGUGGAGGUUUUAUCCUAAGGGGGAGAUAGCGUGCUGUGUUGUCAGGGUCGGCUAUUCAUACCUAGUGUAGAUGACUUGAGGUAAUGAAUUCUUUCAUAAGCGCAUGGUGCAUUUUACUCUAUUCAUCCCGGGGCCACUAAGAUGUAUCGUGAUUUAUGGGAGAUCUAUUGGUAAAGUGGGAUGAAGAGAGAUAUUACAGAGUUUGUAGCUAAGUGCUCUAAGUGUUAGUAGGUUAAGAUUAAGCACCAAAAGCCUAGUGGGUCCAUGCAGGAGUUCAACAUUCCCACGUGGAAAUGGGAAGAAGUGAACAUGGACUUUGUGAUAGGUCUGUCUCAUACUCGUCAUCAGCACAAUUUUAUUUGGGUUAUCGUAGAAAGGAUGACUAAAUCAGCUCAUUUCUUGCCAGUCCAUACCUCUUAUUCAGCCGAGGAUGAUGCCAAACUCUACCUUAGAGAGUUGGUUAGGUUGCACGAUGUUUCCUUAUCCAUCAUCUCAGAUAGAGGUACUCAGAUUACUCUCAAUUUUAGAAAGCAUUCCAAAAGGGUCUUGGUACCCAAGUCCACCUCAGUACAGCCUUCCACUCUCAGAUAAACAGUCAAGCAGAAAGGACCAUUCAGACUCUUGAAGAUACGUUGAGAGCAUGUGUAGUUAAUUUUUAAGGUAGUUGGGAUGAACACUUGCCUUUUAUUGAGUUUGCAUAUAAUAACAACUAUCAUUCCAGUAUCCAGAUGGCUCUGUUUGAGGCUCUUUAUGGUAGGAGAUAUUGAUCUCUGAUUGGUUGGUUUGAAGUACGUGAGGCCAUGGUAGUAGGACCUGACUUGGUGUUUGAUACGUUAGAGAAGGUCCAGUUGAUCUGAGAAAGUCUUAAGGCAGCCCAAAGCAGACAAAAAUUGUAUGCAGAUGUGAUGAAAAAGGAUCUAGAAUUUGAGGUCGGUGAUUUUGUAUACUUGAAAAUCUCUCCCAUGAAGGGAGUGAAGAGGUUUGGCAAGAAAGGGAAACUCAAUCCCCGAUAUGAUGAUCCCUACAAAAUUCUGAGUCUUUUUGGAAAGGUAAAUUACGAGCUUGAGUUGCCUUCAGAUCUAGCCUCAGUACACCCAGUGUUUUAUGUCUCAUUGUUGAAAAUGUGUAUUGGUGAUCCAGCUUUAGUUCUUCCCUUAGAAAGUGUGGAUAUUUAGAACGGUCAUUCCUAUGAGAAAGUUCCAGUCGAAAUUCUCGAUCAUCAAGUUCAUAGACUAAGGAACAAAGAAGUUCCACUAGUCAAAGUUCUUUGCCGGAAUCAGUCUGUUGAGGGAGCCACUUGGGAAGCUGAAGAAGAUAUGCAUACCAAGUACCCCCAUCUUUUCUCCACGAAUUUAGAUUCAAUUUAUGGUAUUAAUCUUCUUAAGAUUCCUCUCUAUCAUGCUCAGUUUCAGUUGUACAUCAUGUUCAUGUCAGUCGUGCAUUUAUGAAUCAGUUUAGUCAUGCAUUCCAUGCAUCAGAUAUACAUGUUCAGUGUGUAAGCUCAAUCCAUCAGUUUCCUCAGCUUAACCAGUCUCAUUCAAAGACGGAUGAUCCUAAGGAGGAGAUAUUGUAAUACCCCUCCCUAGAAUAAUUUAGGUCUCAAUACAUGAGUAUUCUUAUAUAAAAAAAUUUCUAAAUACUUAUUAUUUCACAGUUUAGAGCCCACCAAGUUGUGAAAAAUUGAACUAAUUUUCCAAUGAGAUAAAAUUUGCCUUAAUCUUAUAACCGAGUAAGAAUUAUGACAAUUUUAAGUUCCAGUCGUAAAACACCGUGACUUGGACCCGUAGAGCAUCGUGGAGAAGUGUAAAAAUAAAAUUUUCAAAUUCCAGUGAGACUUCACGAUUCCACCGCAUCGUGGUGUUGUCCCAUCUCACAAUUGUCCCUUUCUAGUGAAGCUCCGCGAUCAUGACACGUCGCGGAGGUGGCCAAAAUGGCACUCCAAAGGCUUACCAUGAUUUCACCACAUCGCGCAAAUCUUCUAGGUCCCAGUUGUCAAUUUUCAGUGGCCCGACACGAUAGCACCGCGUCACGCCAGAGCCAAAAUUUGAGAUUUUCAGUUUUCAGUUCCGAGUUUUUAAAUUCGUUUAAGGGUAUUUGGGUCUUUUUUCAUGGACCUAAUCAACCUAACACACGAGAUUUAACCCAUUAGUGACCUAAAUAAUCAUCAUUAUUUAAUUACUCUUAAAUUAAAGAUCCUAUUCUCAAGAACAAAAACUCUAGCUCUCAAAUUCAAGGCCAAAUCUCAAGAACUCUUCAUCAAUCCUCUCAAAUUCAUUAACUCAGGUAUGUUAAAUGUUCAUUCAUGGGUUCCUUUCACCAUUGGAGUCCAAGUAUCCGAUUUAGAUUGUAAAAUUAUGAUCUUUUUAGGUUAUCUUGAUUUUAAUUUAUGAUUAAACCAUGAAUUUCCAUGAAUCUUGUUCUAUACCAUGUUUUAGCGAAAUUGAUGUCUAUUACUACACUCCAUAUGAUUGAAUAUUAUUGUCCACUAGUUUAAUUCAUGAUUUGUGAUAAUGGUGUUGAAUUUGUGCUUUACUACAAGUUUUAAACUAAUUCCCAUGCUCUAUAUACACCAUGCAUAUCAAGUGUUUGAUAAAAUGCUUACAAGAAUGAAUAUUUACUAAAAGCCUUUAUGUUAUGUCCUCCAAGUUUUAGUGUCAUUUUACUAUUAUUUCUUUUGAGCCAUGGGGGUAUUAAAUACUUGAAAAUCAUAGUUUUUUACUUAGUCUCUUCUCAGUAUCGUCAUAAUAACUUCAUAAUACAUCAUGAGCAUUACUAGAUCAGUCAGUUAAACUAAAAAAUAGUUAGUAACUUAGUAUCAUUCAGUUGGUAGUAGGAUUUAGCACUGGCUGAGUGUAGGGAUGGUGACUUAUCCAUCAGAUAGGCAGAGUCGCUAGUAGCAGUCCCUAAACUCCAAAACCACAUAGCCAGCGUAGGAUAUGAGAAGCCACCCGUUAGUAUAGUCUUGACUAUCUCGGAGUGGUCACCCAUCAGAUUAGGCUUGACACCCUUUGUCCUUUGGGACAAUACAGUAUACCAGACUAGUGGAUCCACAUAGCCAACGUUAGUACCCGUGGCAUGGUAUUAAUAGCCUUCCUACAGGGGUUACAGGUUAGACCCCGAUUAGCUCAGACUGGGGUAUGUCGGUUAGAUGAUAGGUCCCACAAUCUCAGUCCAGUAAUCAGACCAGUAGUUCAGUCUCAGUGUUGUUUGACCAAAGCAUACAGAUAUCAGUUAUUUCAGCAUUUCAAUUUAUAGAUUUUUAUUCAGUUCAUGUUAUAUGCUUGGUCAUGCAUCCCCAGUAUCUACAGAUUUUACAUACCUUUAGUAUUUAUAAACUUCCAUGCAUACAUAGUAUUUACAGAUUUCACAUAUUUUUAGUAUCUACAGAUUUCAUGCUUUCUAUUUAGUACUCCAUGUUUUAUAUGUGUAUUUAGAUAGUUGUUAUUCCUGUUCAUGAAACCAUGCAUGUUAGCCUAUCUCAUUGAGCAUACCAGUACAUUCAAAGUACUGAUCGUAUACCAUUUUUUGUGUUAUGAUGUAUUAUCUCAUAGGUUUUGACUCUCAGUUUCCGAAUCCCGCUUAGAAUUUUCAGGCUCUCGACAGUAGCAGUGAUGAGUUUUCAUAUUUUGAGGAUAGAUUAUUUUACUUUAUGUCUCUAGUUCAGUAGUUAGUGGAGUUAGUUAGGGCCUAUCCCAUCAACUCACAGACAUACAGUUUAGAGGCUUUCAGACAUUACAGUUAGGUAUUCAGUACUCAGACAUCAGUUGACAUAUUAGUUAGUUAUUCAGAUUUUCUUUAUCUUACCAGAUUCAGAUAGUUGUUUUCCAUAUUUAUGGCACAUUGUUGAUUUUAGUUAUUAAAACUUUGCGGCAUAUCAGUUUUCUUCCGCAUUUAUGAUUGUAUUAUUCAG